CAAACAUUCGAUCAAUUCAGUGAGUGGUGAUGUUGCGCAAAUUUAUUGUGGCCGUACCUGUUUUUGCUUUCAUCUGUACGAUAGUAUUUACAGAGCCAAUAAUACAAGACAAUCAAUCAGCAGAUACUCGAGCUAAAGUAGUGAAAUUCAAAAAUCAGAGCAAUAGAACAGGAAUGUAUACAGUUAUAUAUGAACUUAGCAAUGGCAUAAUUCACUAUGAAGACGGUACACUCAACGAUGAUAAUCACAAUCUAGCCGAAGAUCCAGUCGAAGGAACUUACUGGUUCGUAGGACCAGACAAUAGAACGUACAAGAUUGAUUACAUAGUUAAUGAGGAUACCUUUGAACCGCAAGUCGGAGAAGGUAGUGGAGUGAGUAAUAAUUUACUCCGAUCACUGGUUGGUUGACUUUAUUGUAGUACAAACUCUGAUGUAUUCUUCUGGAUUAAAAACACGAUUCCUAGAAAAA